rnacentral:misc_RNA from 1 species
UACUGUUUUACCAUGGUUCUACAAUACAACUUCUCUCAGCUUUUUUCACUGAGAAAACUUGCUUGUAAAGUUAUACCUGGUUUUUCAGUUCAAAAGCUAAUGGACUACUUCGGAUGCCAGGCAAACGUGCUGGUGCUCGUUCACACAGGUCGUUUGCUCGGCAACAGGUGAUCCAUGUUUCUCAAAGUGUGAAGAUUCAAAGUGCUUCAACUUGUGUACAGACUGUCCGAUCGGAUGGGAAUUUAACGCCGAUUUUUUGAGCUGUUAUUACUUGGUUCAAGAUACACAUACUGACUAUCUAUUAGCAAACAGCACUUGUCAAACACUUGGUGGACAUCUGGCGGCCAUUUCUACUCCGGAGGAGAACUCUUGGAUAAAAACGAAGUUGUAUGCGGACUCAAUAAUGUGGCAACCCGCUUGGAUCCGUUAUGAUGAUAGGUUGUUUGGGUAUCAAAACUUGUCUGUCAGAGUACCUAACGUUCACAGUAAUGAUAAAGAUUGCACUGAAAUGUAUCCAAGAGGCUUGCUAACUUAUGUUAAUUGUAAUAACACCGCUCUACCUAUGUGUGAAAAAGGUCAGUACGUCCAACGCAUAUUUUGCUUUAAAAUUUCUGCAUCAACCAAUGAAAUAUAGUAUUAUUGUAAUUUGUAUAUGCUAUUUCGUAAACACUUAUAGGAGUUUUAUUAUUACUACUAUUAUUAUCCAACCAAUAAAAUUCAAA